AGAUUGGAGAUCGGUGAGCGUUCGGUGGUCGAUUGCGAGUUCGAGCCGAAUCGGGCGACGCAUGCCGCGUGAGUCCGAUUGCAAGUGUCUACAAGCAAUCGGAAAGCAUUGCUAGGUGGGUUGUGCUUCACCGAAGUGAUUAGGUCACUUCCAUGCCAAAGUGAAGUAUGGUUUAUUGUUGAUGCAUGUAUAUUAUGGUACGUUGUAUAU
rnacentral:lncRNA from 1 species